UACGAAGGGGGCUAGCGUUGUUCGGAAUUACUGGGCGUAAAGGGUGCGUAGGCGGCUUCUUAAGUCUGGUGUGAAAUCUCCCGGCUCAACUGGGAGGGUGCGCCGGAUACUGAGGGGCUAGAGUGUGGGAGAGGAAAGUGGAAUUCCUGGUGUAGCGGUGAAAUGCGUAGAUAUCAGGAGGAACACCGGUGGUGUAAACGGCUUUCUGGACCAUAACUGACGCUGAGGCACGAAAGCGUGGGUAGCAAACAGG
rnacentral:rRNA from 1 species